rnacentral:rRNA from 1 species
GAUGAACGCUGGCGGCGUGCCUAAUACAUGCAAGUCGAGCGAACGGACGAGAAGCUUGCUUCUCUGAUGUUAGCGGCGGACGGGUGAGUAACACGUGGAUAACCUACCUAUAAGACUGGGAUAACUUCGGGAAACCGGAGCUAAUACCGGCUAAUAUUUUGAACCGCAUGGUUCAAAAGUGAAAGACGGUCUUGCUGUCACUUAUAGCUGGAUCCGCGCUGCAUUAGCUAGUUGGUAAGGUAACGGCUUACCAAGGCAACGAUGCAUAGCCGACCUGAGAGGGUGAUCGGCCACACUGGAACUGAGACACGGUCCAGACUCCUACGGGAGGCAGCAGUAGGGAAUCUUCCGCAAUGGGCGAAAGCCUGACGGAGCAACGCCGCGUGAGUGAUGAAGGUCUUCGGAUCGUAAAACUCUGUUAUUAGGGAAGAACAUAUGUGUAAGUAACUGUGCACAUCUUGACGGUACCUAAUCAGAAAGCCACGGCUAACUACGUG